rnacentral:tRNA from 1 species
GACCCUUUCGUCUAGCGGUUAGGACACGGCCCUUUCACGGCUGUAACACGGGUUCGAUUCCCGUAGGGGUCGCCA